AAAAAAAAAAAAAAAAAAUGAAGAGACUUUUAGAUUUUUUUUUUUUUAAUUUUAGAAGCUUAAAAACAUAAAAUAAUAUUUUAUUAUUUAUGGGUCCUACAACAACUAUUUAAUGGCAGUUUAGUCUCGUGACCAAAUUUUGGAUUCAAUUAACAAAAAAUUAAAGCUUGAAAGCCUAAUGAACCACAAAAUAAACCUUAAGGGCUAAUUGACUGCAGAAUUUUUUAUUUUUUUUAAGGGCUUAAUUGACUUGGGCCAAAAUGAUUUUUGCUGAUUUUUACUAGAUAUUAUAGGAGUUUCCAUUAUAAAGAUGUCAUACUCUUAGCGAUUGAUGGUCAAAAUCAGCAAUAGAUCAACAAUCCACAAGACACUUGGUUUAACAUAGAACAAUAUAUCCUACCAGUCUAGCAACACAAGUGAUAUUGUACUGUAAUAAUAAAACACAGCAUUGUAUAUUAAUCUACUCCACAUUUUGGUAUUUUUUCUUCUACCUAUGGAAUCCAAAGUCCUACUCAAGCUCAAAGGGGUAUUGCAGGGCUGUUAAGCCCAUUAUAGCUUCCAUGUGAGACGACCACAUCUCUUUUAAUUUCUUCACAUUAGCUAUUAGUUUCUCUAAUGCUAACCUAGAAAAUUUUAUAUUGAGAACAAUGAAAGAUGGGAAAGUUCAUUCAUAAACACCCCUCAUCAUCUGUGCUAAACAAAGAAGGAAAGAAAAGGUGGAUUGACUGCUUUAUCACCACAUAUAUAAUGACAAGUUCUAUUUCAAGCAUAUACCUUAACAGCUGACUCACUGCCAA
rnacentral:misc_RNA from 1 species